rnacentral:rRNA from 1 species
AUUGAACGCUGGCGGCAUGCUUUACACAUGCAAGUCGAACGGUAACAGGCCGCAAGGUGCUGACGAGUGGCGAACGGGUGAGUAAUGCAUCGGAACGUGCCCAGUCGUGGGGGAUAACGCAGCGAAAGCUGUGCUAAUACCGCAUACGAGCUAUGGAUGAAAGCGGGGGACCGUAAGGCCUCGCGCGAUUGGAGCGGCCGAUGUCAGAUUAGCUAGUUGGUGGGGUAAAGGCCCACCAAGGCGACGAUCUGUAGCUGGCCUGAGAGGACGACCAGCCACACUGGGACUGAGACACGGCCCAGACUCCUACGGGAGGCAGCAGUGGGGAAUUUUGGACAAUGGGCGCAAGCCUGAUCCAGCAAUGCCGCGUGCAGGAAGAAGGCCUUCGGGUUGUAAACUGCUUUUGUACGGAACGAAACGGUCUGGGUUAAUACCCUGGGCUAAUGACGGUACCGUAAGAAUAAGCACCGGCUAACUACGUGCCAGCAGCCGCCGUAACAC